GAGUGACUAUGCGCUUGCGUGGGCCCUCGGAGAAUUUUCUUUUAUUUUUAAUUUCUCUUUUUCCCCCCUCUUGUAUGUUUUUGUUCGUAUUUUCCUUUCCUCUCGUUUCUCUUCCCUUCACCUUUUUCUUCAAAACCAAGAUCCAAUCUCCGAGGGUCUGCAAUCUUCUAUCCUGCUUCCCCUCUCCCGAUUCGACACAUUCAAUUGAAAUCACCGAGAGCAAUCGUCGAGCUGAAUUUCGAAUUGAUAACCAACCGAACUACCAAGACUGAACUGGAAACACUGGAAGAAACCGGAGAUCCUUGAGUGACACCGAGACGGAAUUCGUCGAACCGAUAAAACGUCCGAGAGUAAUCUGACAUCUACACACUAUUCACUACUGAUUUGAAAUUAUAUGAGGACAUCUACCAUCAAUGAAAUAAAGUGGAAUAUCGUUGACGAUGUUGAAAUCGGGGAAGGGAAAGCAAAGAUUACCCUCUGUUACAGAGGAUUUGUGUAAAUAUACUUGUACAUACGAAAGUAUUUUUAAUUUGUACAAAGAGAGAGAUGUAGAGUUCUGAUGUUAAAAGUACAACACUACUCGAAUCAUAUGCUCGGUGGAUGAGAAUUUCCUUCGAAAUUGGCCAGUAGUCGGCGUUGCAGAUCGCCUAUCUCGAUUGAUAUAUCAAGCAAAUAAUCAUGCAAUACUACAUAACAAAUUUUGAAUUUGAUUAUUUAAGUAAAAGUCGAAGAUCGAAGAAAACACUGCAAAAGAUACGACGACCAGGAACCGUUUGCAAAAAGCUUAUCACUGAAGGAAGCAUAUAUCGAUUAAUCAAUAGAUCAAAAACAUUUGAAGAAAACUUGUCAUCACUUAUACUGCUUUUAUGGAAAAAGACGUUUUGAAGACAGAAAACAACCGUAUUGCGAUUUUUGACUUUGACACUUUAUUGGUAAGGUAACUAAUUUAUUAUUUGAUUAAAUAAUACGAAACUUUGAGAAUGUGUCAAUUCUGCGAUUAAAGAUUAUUGGCAUUGAUGUAAAUGUAUUUCCUUAUAUUUGUAACGUCGCGUGACCCUCUAUAUAGACUAGAAACCAUUCCUCGGUCAUAAAACUAAAGAUUUUGACUUUACCAUCAAUUGCUGUAACAUAUCUUUCAAAUCGAGACAUUUCUUAGAGUCAUAAUUCAAACCAGUAAAAUAUGGGAAAAGCAGGUUUUUGAACAAUAACCCUAAGGAAUGUCUUGAUUUGAAAGAUAUGUUGAAGCAAUUAAGGGCCUUGACAAAAUCUUUAAUUUUAUGGCCGAGGGAUGGUUUGCAAUCUAUAUAGAGGGUCACGUGACGUAACAAUACUAGUAUAACAUUUAUUAACAAUAAUGUAACUAGUCUUAUAUUUUAAUUUAGAGUUUUAAGGUUUAUUGUAAGGAAUUGACAAAAUUUUCGAAGAUUUCUAAACACCGAGCUAGUCAUUAAUUUAAGGUAAUGUAAUUAUUUUAUAUUUUAAGUUUAAAUUUCCUUUCUUUUUUAAUUCAUAUAUAUCGUACUUACACGAAGGAAGGAAAAUAUUUAGAGGUUAAUAUAAAAAGAGACAAUACAACGAUCUAGUCAGCAAGUGAUAAAAAUGUAGUAUACACUAUGAGAAUCAAAAUAUAGAAUUUAGUCUAAAAAAGAAAAAAAGUAUAAUUACGAUCUAGUCAAGAAAUCGAAUUAUUAGAAAACCUAAUCUAGUCACAAAAUAAUACAGUCUAGUCAUUAUUAUUUUUAGUCGUUCGCAUUGGUGCCACGGAUUUUAAUCUCGAGAUAAAUUUUUCUGAAAUUUUCUCGUGAAUUACUAGAAAUUAAGUUGAAAUCUUAAAUUACAAAAAAUAUGUAUUUAAUUUAAUUACAUGUAGCAUCAACGAGACGUGUGUAUACCUUUUCGUAUAGCUUUUUUAUGUUUCUAGUCAACCAUACUUUUCUAGUCAUCGCGUUCUUUUCACUUAACACAUAAGUAUCGUAAGUAUCAUAUUCCUCAAAGGAUAUGCAGGCCACAAGUAAAUGCAAUUCUGAAACUUUUAUUUCAAUAUAUCCUCUACUUGUGUGACAUUAAUUUUGCAUAUUUAAAUACAUACGUACCAUACAUUUGUCAAAUAAAUAAUAUCCGUGGAUACGAUGCCAUACAAAAGUUAAGUCAUGAAAAUAUAUCAUACUCGCUUUCUAUAAUCGUAAAAAAGAAUCACAAAAAGAAUAGUUAAGAAAUUGCAGUCUAUAUUAUCUGAUCGUGUAUACAUAAUAUAAUUUAUUAACUAAGUCAAUAUUCUAUUCAUUUCGGGGAAUGUGCCAGUAAUCUACAUCAAUAUUAUUAUUAUAUAGGUUUAUGGCAAAAAAAUAAUUUCAUCAAAAAUUAGAAUUCCAAUAGUUAUAUAAAGUAAAAAAAUUAAACUUAUUUCAAAAUUAAUUACGUAAACGGUUGUCAAUAAAACUGAAGGAAUAUUACCUACGUAUGUAUAUAAUUCCGAUUUUUUUGCCAAAUUCCUAUGACUCAGUCGGUACAGUUUAAACAAUUAAAUUUAUUAAAUCGUCCUUUACAAGGCAGCUAAUUAUGUAUUCGUUUAGGAUUAAAUUAUCAUAUACGUAUUCUUUGAUAAUUUUGAACUGGGAAGAUUACUAAUCACAAGCACAACAAUUUAGUACAAAAAGUAUUUUGUUAAGUAAAAAGUAUUAUGUGGCUGUGUUUAAUAAUUAAGAAUAAUUUUAUAUUAAUUAACACAAAUCUGUACUUCUUUUUAAAUUGAUAGAGAUGUCCAUUACUAUAUCUUAGUAAUAUCUAAUCCGAACAUACCGACUGAAGUUAAUAUAUGAAGUGCUCCAUUUUUUCUGAUCAAACUCUCUUAAUUUGUGCAGGAACACCCUGUAUCGCAUUUAAUUUUAAGCUUAUUUAUUUCGAAAUGAUAAAAUAAUUAAUUUAUACAUUGUAUACGCAUAGUCACUAUCACUUUGUAAAAAAUUCUAGUCAAAUUAAUAUAUAAUUAAAUUAUUAUUAGGAGUGGUAUCUAGUCAAUGAAUCCAUGGACACUAACUCGAACAGUUUAGUCCAGGUAUUAAAAAAAACUGAAGAAACAAAUUUGUUUUUGCUUUAUAUAUGUAAAAAACAUCGUAUCAAUUAUCGUAUAGUUAUACCAAAUAGAUGUUUUGGAAUUUUACGUUUUAUUGUGCAAUUUCUUUUUAUAUUUCACUGGCGAACUUAGUAGAGUAUUUGAUCUCAGUUCAUGGAUAAUAAAUCUAGUCUACAGUAUGCUAAAGCGAUUGAGUAAAUUGGAGUUACUAAAUGUAAAAUAUAUUCAAAGAUAAAAUAACUUAUAAUUAGUUUGAAAAAUUUUUAUUAUAGUUUCCGUAUCAACCUAAUAGUAGGACACGAUAUAUUGUGUAUGGUUUACAGUAAAGUAUUAAAAUAAACAUUUAUUUAUAAGAUAGUUUAUAACAUAUAGGUAUGUAUUAAGGUAAAUUUAUAUUGUAAGGAUUUAGAAUAUAAGAUCAUCAUAUAUGUAUUCUUA